rnacentral:lncRNA from 1 species
CUGGGUAAUAAUAUUGAAACACAAUUAAACAUAGUUUAUCCACAACUCACAGAGUGAAGAUUGUUUAAACAGGCUGUAAGAGUUUUUCCAAUUAAUUUGAUACAGGUCGUUUCUUUGAGUAAGAUGUUGUUUUAAACGCUGUGUGCUCAUUCGAGACUUGUCUCUGUGAAUUUGACUCAUCAUUGUGUUGAUACACAAUAUACAUGCGUGGGAUUGGAUUACAGAUUUCAUUCGAUAUGUUGAGAUGAGGAUGCGAGGAUGAUUAGAUAUAUUAUUUUACAUAAAUGGAUGAAGAAUUUAAUGACCAGAGGAUGCUCGAUUUGCAAUGAAGCAAAACAGACUACUGACAAUCACUUCUAGAACUUCAUGCUUUUAAGUCUAAAUCAUAUAGACUACUGGAUAAUUUUGGAGCAACACCUUGUACAGAUGAAUUUUUAAGACACUAUUGUGGGAAGGAAGAAGGUAGGUAAACGCCGUUAUUGCAAAAACUCAACAAUUAAUAUAUGCAAAAGGACAAAAAAGGACUUAAACCUUACAACCGGCAUCCCCAUUAUUAAUUUAUAUAUGAAAGUUAUUGAAGAUAUAAACUCGUUCCUCAGUUAACUGAAGACUAUGACACUAACGUGAUUUAAUUUUUAAAUAUGCUCCUGUUAUAAUUUUAUUUUAUUAUUAGUUUGAUAAUUUUCUUAUUUUUACUGUUGUUUUUUAACUUCAAAUCUUAUGUUUUAUGCGAUGUGCUAAGCUUUUGGUUUGGAGGAAAAGUUUAUAUACGGCUAGUAAUAUAGUUACGCUAUGUGAAAAAAAAAUGGAAUUAUAGCUGAACUCUUAAUGAAAAACUAUUAACCGACACUCCUCAAUUCUAUUUUGCCAGACUUCUUAAAAAAGAUUAAAAACAUAAUGAUAUGGUUCGCAAAAUAUCAAUACUAGUGUUUGAUUUUGGUCUCAAAAUCCUGGUUAUUAGUUGCUUAUGCCCAAAACAUUAAAA